GACUGCUCCGGUGGCCUAGUGGUUAGAGCAUCUGCUUCUGAUGUGGGAGGUCAUGGGUUAGAUCCCCAGCUGAGUCA